rnacentral:rRNA from 1 species
AUGAACGCUAGCUACAGGCUUAACACAUGCAAGUCGAGGGGCAGCAUGGUCUUAGCUUGCUAAGGCCGAUGGCGACCGGCGCACGGGUGAGUAACACGUAUCCAACCUGCCGUCUACUCUUGGACAGCCUUCUGAAAGGAAGAUUAAUACAAGAUGGCAUCAUGAGUCCACAUGUUCACAUGAUUAAAGGUAUUCCGGUAGACGAUGGGGAUGCGUUCCAUUAGAUAGUAGGCGGGGUAACGGCCCACCUAGUCUUCGAUGGGUAGGGGUUCUGAGAGGAAGGUCCCCCACAUUGGAACUGAGACACGGUCCAAACUCCUACGGGAGGCAGCAGUGAGGAAUAUUGGUCAAUGGGCGAGAGCCUGAACCAGCCAAGUAGCGUGAAGGAUGACUGCCCUAUGGGUUGUAAACUUCUUUUAUAAAGGAAUAAAGUCGGGUAUGGAUACCCGUUUGCAUGUACUUUAUGAAUAAGGAUCGGCUAACUCCGUGCCAGCAGCCGCGGUAAUACGGAGGAUCCGAGCGUUAUCCGGAUUUAUUGGGUUUAAAGGGAGCGUAGAUGGAUGUUUAAGUCAGUUGUGAAAGUUUGCGGCUCAACCGUAAAAUUGCAGUUGAUACUGGAUAUCUUGAGUGCAGUUGAGGCAGGCGGAAUUCGUGGUGUAGCGGUGAAAUGCUUAGAUAUCACGAAGAACUCCGAUUGCGAAGGCAGCCUGCUAAGCUGCAACUGACAUUGAGGCUCGAAAGUGUGGGUAUCAAACAGGAUUAGAUACCCUGGUAGUCCACGCCGUAAACGAUGAGUGCUAAGUGUUGGAGGGUUUCCGCCCUUCAGUGCUGCAGCAAACGCAUUAAGCACUCCGCCUGGGGAGUACGACCGCAAGGUUGAAACUCAAAGGAAUUGACGGGGGCCCGCACAAGCGGAGGAACAUGUGGUUUAAUUCGAUGAUACGCGAGGAACCUUACCCGGGCUUAAAUUGCAGAUGAAUUACGGUGAAAGCCGUAAGCCGCAAGGCAUCUGUGAAGGUGCUGCAUGGUUGUCGUCAGCUCGUGCCGUGAGGUGUCGGCUUAAGUGCCAUAACGAGCGCAACCCUUGUUGUCAGUUACUAACAGGUUCCGCUGAGGACUCUGACAAGACUGCCAUCGUAAGAUGUGAGGAAGGUGGGGAUGACGUCAAAUCAGCACGGCCCUUACGUCCGGGGCCACACACGUGUUACAAUGGGGGGUACAGAAGGCCGCUACACAGCGAUGUGAUGCCAAUCCCCAAAACCUCUCUCAGUUCGGACUGGAGUCUGCAACCCGACUCCACGAAGCUGGAUUCGCUAGUAAUCGCGCAUCAGCCACGGCGCGGUGAAUACGUUCCCGGGCCUUGUACACACCGCCCGUCAAGCCAUGGGAGCCGGGGGUACCUGAAGUGCGUAACCGCGAGGAGCGCCCUAGGGUAAAACUGGUGACUGGGGCU